rnacentral:rRNA from 1 species
CCCUUAGAUGUCCUGGGCCGCACGCGCGUUACACUGACAGAUGCAUCAAGCGGUUCACCUUGGCCGACAGGCCCGGGUAAUCUUUGUAAACUCUGUCGUGCUGGGGAUAGAUCAUUGCAAUUAUUGAUCUUCAACGAGGAAUUCCUAGUAAGCGUGAGUCAUCAGCUCGCGUUGAUUACGUCCCUGCCCUUUGUACACACCGCCCGUCGCACCUACCGAUUGAAUGUUUCGGUGAAGAUUCCGGAUAGGACUGAUUUGAUUUAUUUCAUUUCUGACCUAAAAGCUAUCUAAACCUCAACAUUUAGAGGAAGGUGAAGUCGUAACA